AAAUUAAAGGAACACUAUAGUCACCUAAAUUACUUUAGCUAAAUAAAGCAGUUUUAGUGUAUAGAUCAUUCCCUUACAAUUUCACUGCUCAAUUCACUGUCAUUUAGGAGUUAAAUCACUUUGUUUCUGUUUAUGCAGCCCUAGCCACACCUCCCCUGGCUAUGACUGACAGAGCCUGCAUGAAAAAAAAAAAACUGGUUUAACUUUCAAACAGAUGUAAUUUACCUUAAAUAAUUGUAUCUCAAUCUCUAAAUUGAACUUUAAUCACAUACAGGAGGCUCUUGCAGGGUCUAGCAAGCUAUUAACAUAGCAGGGGAUAAGAAAAUCUUAAUUAAACAGAACUUGCAAUAAAGAAAGCCUAAAUAGGGCUCUCUUUACAGGAAGUGUUUAUGGAAGGCUGUGCAAGUCACAUGCAGGGAGGUGUGACUAGGGUUCAUAAACAAAGGGAUUUAACUCCUAAAUGGCAGAGGAUUGAGCAGUGAG